rnacentral:lncRNA from 1 species
CAAGAACACUGUAUGUUUUUUCCUUGCAUUAGGAAAUGGGGAUAAUUUUGACACUUUUCACUUUAUUUUAGAAAGAGCUUGUACUUUUGUUUUGUAAGGAAAAUAAAAAAGGUAAGCAUGGUAGGGCACAGUGGCUUGUGCCUGUAAUCCCAGCACUUUGGGAGGUCAAGGCUGGAGGAUCACUUAAGCCCAGGAGUUCGAGGCUGCAAUGAGCUAUGAAUACACCACUACAUCCCAGCCUGGGUGAUAGAGCGAGACCUUGUCUGUGGGAAAAAAAAAAAAAAGUGUGAGUGAUACUGUUUAUUACGAAGCUUAAUUUGCAUUGAGGUUAAAUGUUAAUGGGAUUCUCCUCUCUUCUUUUUCUAACUCUGAAAUCCCAUUCUAAGCCUUGAAAUGGGCAGAGCAAGGUAGGAGUCUCCAGCAGGGAGGAGGAGGGGAGUUGUGGUGGCUCAGAGCAACAUGUCAGACCCGAGAGGGUCAGUACUGAUAGGGCACAGCCUGUCAAGGGCUGUCAGAGCCUUGGCAGGGUGACAAGGAUGUUCACAUGUGGGGACAGGCUGGUGUGGGGUUUUGGAGGACAAGCUGAGUGAGGCAGGUAUCUAGAGGUAGAGUGGAUUGGAAUAUGGACCCCCAAAAUAUUUGUCCAAGUGCUAACUCCUAGUACCAAACUCUGUAUUAAUUUCUCAGAGCUGCUGUAACUAAUUAUGUUUAACUUGAUGACUUCAUUCAACAGAAAUUUAUUCUUUCACAGUUCUGGAGACCAGAAGGCCAAAAUCAAAAGUAUGGGCAGGCUUGAUUUCUUUAGAAGACUCCAGCGGAGAACUGUGUCUCCUUGCUUCUGGUGGGUAUUGGCAAUCCUUGGAGUUCCUUGGCUUGUAGGCACAUCGCUUCAAUCUCUGCUUCUGCUUUCACGUGGGGCUCCUCCCUGUAUGUGUCUGUGUUGCCUCCUUUUCUGACUCUCAUAAGAACACUUGUUAUUGGAUAUAGAGCCCUCCCUAAUCCAGGAUGGUCUCAUCUUGAGAUCUUUAUCUUGGUUAUGUCUACAAAGACCCUUAUUCCAAAUAAAGUCACAUUUUGAGAUUUUGGGUGGACAUGUGUUUUGAUGUGCCACUAUUCAACACACUACCAAAGAGGUCACUCAUCACGUGGUUUCAGAGAUCAAGAGGAGUGAGAAUGGCAUCCCUGUGAAGGGGUGGUUUCUUGUGGGGCAUGAAAGCUUAUGCAGGAUAGGAGAGUAUCUAUGCUAGAAGUCACCCAGCAUAAAUGUCAGACCCCAAGUGGGGUGAUGAGGCGAGAUGAGAGAUUGGUUACAUAUGGUAGACUGAUCCAAUGAACACUGUAUGUUUUUUCCUUGCAUUAGGAAAUGGGGAUAAUUUUGACACUUUUCACUUUAUUUUAGAAAGAGCUUGUACUUUUGUUUUGUAAGGAAAAUAAAAAAGGUAAGCAUGGUAGGGCACAGUGGCUUGUGCCUGUAAUCCCAGCACUUUGGGAGGUCAAGGCUGGAGGAUCACUUAAGCCCAGGAGUUCGAGGCUGCAAUGAGCUAUGAAUACACCACUACAUCCCAGCCUGGGUGAUAGAGCGAGACCUUGUCUGUGGGAAAAAAAAAAAAAAGUGUGAGUGAUACUGUUUAUUACGAAGCUUAAUUUGCAUUGAGGUUAAAUGUUAAUGGGAUUCUCCUCUCUUCUUUUUCUAACUCUGAAAUCCCAUUCUAAGCCUUGAAAUGGGCAGAGCAAGGUAGGAGUCUCCAGCAGGGAGGAGGAGGGGAGUUGUGGUGGCUCAGAGCAACAUGUCAGACCCGAGAGGGUCAGUACUGAUAGGGCACAGCCUGUCAAGGGCUGUCAGAGCCUUGGCAGGGUGACAAGGAUGUUCACAUGUGGGGACAGGCUGGUGUGGGGUUUUGGAGGACAAGCUGAGUGAGGCAGGUAUCUAGAGGUAGAGUGGAUUGGAAUAUGGACCCCCAAAAUAUUUGUCCAAGUGCUAACUCCUAGUACCAAACUCUGUAUUAAUUUCUCAGAGCUGCUGUAACUAAUUAUGUUUAACUUGAUGACUUCAUUCAACAGAAAUUUAUUCUUUCACAGUUCUGGAGACCAGAAGGCCAAAAUCAAAAGUAUGGGCAGGCUUGAUUUCUUUAGAAGACUCCAGCGGAGAACUGUGUCUCCUUGCUUCUGGUGGGUAUUGGCAAUCCUUGGAGUUCCUUGGCUUGUAGGCACAUCGCUUCAAUCUCUGCUUCUGCUUUCACGUGGGGCUCCUCCCUGUAUGUGUCUGUGUUGCCUCCUUUUCUGACUCUCAUAAGAACACUUGUUAUUGGAUAUAGAGCCCUCCCUAAUCCAGGAUGGUCUCAUCUUGAGAUCUUUAUCUUGGUUAUGUCUACAAAGACCCUUAUUCCAAAUAAAGUCACAUUUUGAGAUUUUGGGUGGACAUGUGUUUUGAUGUGCCACUAUUCAACACACUACCAAAGAGGUCACUCAUCACGUGGUUUCAGAGAUCAAGAGGAGUGAGAAUGGCAUCCCUGUGAAGGGGUGGUUUCUUGUGGGGCAUGAAAGCUUAUGCAGGAUAGGAGAGUAUCUAUGCUAGAAGUCACCCAGCAUAAAUGUCAGACCCCAAGUGGGGUGAUGAGGCGAGAUGAGAGAUUGGUUACAUAUGGUAGACUGAUCCAAUAGGCAAGUAAGUAUAUUGAGGGUGAGAGGAGCCAAGUUUCUGUCAUAGAAGCAAAUUACAAAUAUAAAAAAGGAGAAAAUUAUGGAGUUGAAGGUACUGGUGUGAACUUGUAAUUUGUAAUAAAUGAGCUAUAUUAAUACAUGGAGAUGUAAAUGUAUGUGGGUGUAUGUGUGUUUUAUAAUACCUAGCUCUGUUCACUGAAAUAGGCUGGCAACAUAUCCACUGCGAUAGCAACUAGCACAUUUAGCAUCCAUAUCUUGGCUUCUAAAUACUGGUCUUCACCAGAAAGAGAGAGUUUUUCUUGGGAAAAUGACCAGAUUUCAUAGAGGGAGUACAUUGUAUAGAGGGAGUACAAUAUCAAGCAUUUUAUACCAGAAAGUAAGGAAGUCCUUUAAAAAAAUAAUGGAGUCGUGUCAAAAGGGCGCAAAAAUCAUCCUGAAGAAGCUCCCAUAAGCCAAAUUGGGAAUAAUUUGACCAUCAAAGUAAACGAUAGUAAUGUAUUACCGCUCAUUAAAGUACAAAACCGUUAAGUCCAUCAUUAUCAAAGUAAGUGAGUAAAUUGAAAAUUUGGAAUGAAUGAGAUAUUUACAUACUUUCAAAUCUAUCCCCCACAAAAUAUUUACUAAUCACAAGGGGGAAAAUGAAUACAUUUUGAAUGGAGAAACAUGCCGAUGCCACCUGAACUGAGUGAUCAAAGUGAACAUCGUCAGUGAUAGCAUAAAUCAAAAUUACUUGUCACCCACCUGAUAGAAUGCAAUGAGAAACAUCUGUGAUAUUCCUGUCAGAUGCAUCAUCUGAAUCUUAUCAUGAGAAAGCACAAUAAAGCCAAAUUGAGGCAUGUUCUACCGAAUAAAUGGAUGGUAAUUUUCAAAAGUCUUAGAGUUUUGAAAGCCAGGGAAAGACUAAUGAACUAAUGAAGGCAUCUAGAGAGACAUGAUAACUAAUUGCAAUGUGUGUUUCUGAACUGGACACUUAUUUUGACAAUCAAAUCUGAAAAUUAGAGAGUAGUAAUAUCUCAACAUAUCAAUUGCUUAAUAAAUACCCAGAGCAGAGUAAGCACUCAGUUUAACUAUGAUGAUGACAAUGAUGACACUGACAAUGAUUACUGAAGGACCGCAUGAAAAAAUACACCUAGCAGGGGUGGGGGGAGCGGGGAGGGAUAGCAUUAGGAGAUAUACCUAAUGUAAAUGACAAGUUAAUGGGUGCAGCACACCAACAUGGCA